GUCCAGACUCCUACGGGAGGCAGCAGUGGGGAAUAUUGCACAAUGGGGGAAACCCUGAUGCAGCGACGCCGCGUGAGCGAUGAAGUAUUUCGGUAUGUAAAGCUCUAUCAGCAGGGAAGAAAAUGACGGUACCUGACUAAGAAGCCCCGGCUAACUACGUGCCAGCAGCCGCGGUAAUACGUAGGGGGCAAGCGUUAUCCGGAUUUACUGGGUGUAAAGGGAGCGUAGACGGCUGUGCAAGCCAGAUGUGAAAGCCCGGGGCUCAACCCCGGGACUGCAUUUGGAACUGUGUGGCUGGAGUGUCGGAGAGGCAGGCGGAAUUCCUAGUGUAGCGGUGAAAUGCGUAGAUAUUAGGAGGAACACCAGUGGCGAAGGCGGCCUGCUGGACGACAACUGACGGUGAGGCGCGAAAGCGUGGGGAGCAAACAGGAUUAGAUACCCCCGUA
rnacentral:rRNA from 1 species